GAUGAACGCUGGCGGCGUGCCUAACACAUGCAAGUCGAACGGAAUUUACAUGAAGCCUAGCGAUUGUAAAUUUAGUGGCGGACGGGUGAGUAACGCGUGGGUAACCUGCCUUGUACUGGGGGACAACAGUUGGAAACGACUGCUAAUACCGCAUAAGCGCACAGCUUCGCAUGAAGCAGUGUGAAAAACUCUGGUGGUACAAGAUGGACCCGCGUCUGAUUAGCUGGUUGGUGAGGUAACGGCCCACCAAGGCGACGAUCAGUAGCCGGCCUGAGAGGGUGAACGGCCACAUUGGGACUGAGACACGGCCCAAACUCCUACGGGAGGCAGCAGUGGGGAAUAUUGCACAAUGGGGGAAACCCUGAUGCAGCAACGCCGCGUGAGUGAAGAAGUAUUUCGGUAUGUAAAGCUCUAUCAGCAGGAAAGAAAAUGACGGUACCUGACUAAGAAGCCCCGGCUAACUACGUG
rnacentral:rRNA from 1 species